rnacentral:tRNA from 1 species
GAGAAUAUAGCUUAGUGGUACAGCACCUGCCUGGCAAGCAUGAGGUUGAGUUUAAUUCCCACUAUCA